rnacentral:rRNA from 1 species
GUCUAUGGCCAACCACCUUGGAUGUAUCCAAUCUCAUCUAAUCUCAGAAGCUAAGCAGGGUCUGGCCUGGUUAGUACUUGGAUGGGAGAGAAUGGGCACAUCCAGGCCUCUAGCCA